GAAGCUUGCUUUUUAUCAGGUUAGCGGCGGACGGGUGAGUAACACGUGGGUAACCUGCCCUAUAGACCGGGAUAACUCGCGGAAACGCGUGCUAAUACCGGAUAACACAGCGGAGCGCAUGCUCCGGUGUUGAAAGGUGGUUCUGCUACCGCUAUAGGAUGGGCCCGCGGCGCAUUAGCUGGUUGGUGGGGUAACGGCCUACCAAGGCGACGAUGCGUAGCCGACCUGAGAGGGUGAUCGGCCACACUGGGACUGAGACACGGCCCAGACUCCUACGGGAGGCAGCAGUAGGGAAUCUUCCACAAUGGGCGAAAGCCUGAUGGAGCAACGCCGCGUGAGCGAAGAAGGUCUUCGGAUCGUAAAGCUCUGUUGUAAGGGAAGAACAAGUGCGGUAGUAACUGACCGCACCCUGACGGUACCUUACGAGAAAGCCACGGCUAACUACGUGCCAGCAGCCGCGGUAAUACGUAGGUGGCGAGCGUUGUCCGGAAUUAUUGGGCGUAAAGCGCGCGCAGGCGGUCUCUUAAGUCUGAUGUGAAAGCCCCCGGCUCAACCGGGGAGGGUCAUUGGAAACUGGGAGACUUGAGUGCAGGAGAGGGAA
rnacentral:rRNA from 1 species